ACAACACGUUACACUGUAUAUAUGGUAACUCCCUCCAUUCAAUACAACACGUUACACUGUAUAUAUGGUAACUCCCUCCAUUCAAUACAACACGUUACACUGUAUAUAUGGUAACUCCCUCCAUUCAAUACAACACGUUACACUGUAUAUAUGGUAACUCCCUCCAUUCAAUACAACACGUUACACUGUAUAUAUGGUAACUCCCUCCAUUCAAUACAACACGUCACACUGUAGGUAGGUAGGUAAUGCUGAUCUAUGGUAACUCCCUCCAUUCAAUACAACACGUUACACUGUAGGUAUGGUAACUCCCUCCAUUCAAUACAACACGUUACACUGUAGGUAUGGUAACUCCCUCCAUUCAAUACAACACGUUACACUGUAUAUAUGGUAACUCCCUCCAUUCAAUACAACACGUUACACUGUAUAUAUGGUAACUCCCUCCAUUCAAUACAACACGUUACACUGUAUAUAUGGUAACUCCCUCCAUUCAAUACAACACGUUACACUGUAGGUAUGGUAACUCCCUCCAUUCAAUACAACACGUCACACUGUAUAUAUGGUAACUCCCUCCAUUCAAUACAACACGUUACACUGUAUAUAUGGUAACUCCCUCUAGGUAGGUAGGUAGGUAAUGCUGAUCUAUGGUAACUCCCUCCAUUCAAUACAACACGUUACACUGUAGGUAUGGUAACUCCCUCCAUUCAAUACAACACGUUACACUGUAGGUAUGGUAACUCCCUCCAUUCAAUACAACACGUUACACUGUAUAUAUGGUAACUCCCUCCAUUCAAUACAACACGUUACACUGUAUAUAUGGUAACUCCCUCCAUUCAAUACAACACGUUACACUGUAUAUAUGGUAACUCCCUCCAUUCAAUACAACACGUUACACUGUAUAUAUGGUAACUCCCUCCAUUCAAUACAACACGUUACACUGUAUAUAUGGUAACUCCCUCCAUUCAAUACAACACGUUACACUGUAUGUAUGGUAACUCCCUCCAUUCAAUACAACACGUUACACUGUAUAUAUGGUAACUCCCUCCAUUCAAUACAACACGUUACACUGUAGGUAGGUAGGUAAUGCUGAUCUAUUGUAACUCCCUCUAGGUAGGUAGGUAGGUAAUGCUGAUCUAUUGUAACUCCCUCUAGGUAGGUAGGUAGGUAGGUAGGUAGGUAGGUAGGUAGGUAAUGCUGAUCUAUGGUAGGUAGGUAGGUAAUGCUGAUCUAUUGUAACUCCCUCUAGGUAGGUAGGUAGGUAAUGCUGAUCUAUGGUAACUCCCUCCAUUCAAUACAACACGUUACACUGUAUAUAUGGUAACUCCCUCCAUUCAAUACAACACGUUACACUGUAUAUAUGGUAACUCCCUCCAUUCAAUACAACACGUUACACUGUAUGUAUGGUAACUCCCUCCAUUCAAUACAACACGUUACACUGUAUAUAUGGUAACUCCCUCCAUUCAAUACAACACGUUACACUGUAUAUAUGGUAACUCCCUCCAUUCAAUACAACACGUUACACUGUAUAUAUGGUAACUCCCUCCAUUCAAUACAACACGUUACACUGUAUAUAUGGUAACUCCCUCCAUUCAAUACAACACGUUACACUGUAUAUAUGGUAACUCCCUCCAUUCAAUACAACACGUUACACUGUAUAUAUGGUAACUCCCUCCAUUCAAUACAACACGUUACACUGUAGGUAGGUAGGUAAUGCUGAUCUAUUGUAACUCCCUCUAGGUAGGUAGGUAGGUAAUGCUGAUCUAUUGUAACUCCCUCUAGGUAGGUAGGUAGGUAGGUAGGUAGGUAGGUAGGUAGGUAAUGCUGAUCUAUGGUAGGUAGGUAGGUAAUGCUGAUCUAUUGUAACUCCCUCUAGGUAGGUAGGUAGGUAAUGCUGAUCUAUUGUAACUCCCUCUAGGUAGGUAGGUAGGUAGGUAGGUAGGUAGGUAGGUAGGUAGGUAGGUAGGUAAUGCUGAUCUAUGGUAGGUAGGUAGGUAAUGCUGAUCUAUUGUAACUCCCUCUAGGUAGGUAGGUAGGUAAUGCUGAUCUAUUGUAACUCCCUCUAGGUAGGUAGGUAGGUAAUGCUGAUCUAUUGUAACUCCCUCUAGGUAGGUAGGUAGGUAGGUAGGUAAUGCUGAUCUAUGGUAGGUAGGUAGGUAAUGCUGAUCUAUUGUAACUCCCUCUAGGUAGGUAGGUAGGUAGGUAGGUAGGUAGGUAGGUAGGUAGGUAGGUAAUGCUGAUCUAUGGUAGGUAGGUAGGUAAUGCUGAUCUAUUGUAACUCCCUCUAGGUAGGUAGGUAGGUAGGUAGGUAGGUAAUGCUGAUCUAUUGUAACUCCC